rnacentral:rRNA from 1 species
ACGACUCUCGGCAACGGAUAUCUCGGCUCACGCAUCGAUGAAGAACGUAGCAAAAUGCGAUACUUGGUGUGAAUUGCAGAAUCCCGUGAACCAUCGAGUUUUUGAACGCAAGUUGCGCCCSGAAGCCAUUUGGUUGAGGGCACGUCUGCCUGGGCGUCACGC